rnacentral:rRNA from 1 species
UACGGGGGGGCAAGCGUUGUUCGGAAUUACUGGGCGUAAAGGGCGCGUAGGCGGUUUGCUAAGUUGAAUGUGAAAACUCUGGGUUUAACCCAGAGCCUGCAUUCAAUACUGGCAGGCUAGAGUUCUGGAGGGGAUAGCGGAAUCCUGGUGUAGCGGUGAAAUGCGUAGAUAUCAGGAGGAACACCGGUGGCGAAGGUGGGUAGCUGGGCCGACACUGACGCUGAGGCGCGAAAGCCAGGGGAGCGAACGGG